rnacentral:rRNA from 1 species
UACAGAGGGUGCGAGCGUUGUUCGGAAUUACGUGGGCGUAAAGCGCGUGUAGGUGGCGAGGCAAGUCGGGUGUGAAAGCCCUGGGCUCAACCCAGGAAGUGCACUCGGAUACUGCCUAGCUAGAGUCCCGGAGAGGUUGGUGGAACUCUCGGUGUAGAGGUGAAAUUCGUAGAUAUCGAGAAGAACACCGGUGGCGAAGGCGGCCAACUGGACGGUGACUGACACUGAGACGCGAAAGCGUGGGGAGCGAAACAGG